AGUGGAGAUAUUUCUCUGAAGAUGUGACAUUUGAGCAGACCUGAUCGAAAUAAGGGUUGAACAAUGUGAGGCUGUGCUGGAAGACUAUUCCAGGAAAAAGAAAGAGCAAGUGGGAAUAACUGUGGAGAAACAGGACCUGAUUUGUGUUUUUAAAGAUCAAUCGCACCGUUUUAUGAAUACCUGCCGACCAUGGAGAGGCGAGACAGCAAGCAGGCCAGGUGAGGAAUAUGUAAUGAAGGCUUGGACAAGGAAGCAAAGGCAGUGGAGAAGGGCCAUCAGAAUCUGGAAACACUCUAAGGUUAAGCAUCCCUGACGUGAAAAUCUGAACUGCUUCAAAAUCUGUAACUUUGUGAGUGCUGACAUGACAAAUCCACAUCUGACCUCUUGACAGGCUACAGUCACAAUGCAGAUCUGGAAGCCACUGCACACAGUCUGAAGGAAGCUUUGCUAACCUGGGGGUGGG